AGGCCUACACGGGACUAUUUAUGAGAAAUAAUUUUUUUUUUUUAAAUUUCAUGACCACAGUCCAGUCAAGAUGUAACUUAAUUUUGUUGUUUAUAUGCAGCCUCACUCUUCUCCUUUACUUUAAUCCAUAAUUGUUGUAGGUGUCAAGGAUGAGAUCAUGGAACUGUGUCUGUUUACACUGGGGAAGCAGCAAAAUACCACAAAAACGACACACGAAGAGACGAACGUGACCCGUGACCAGAGGAGAUGGACCGACACCGACCGAGUCAGUGGAGAUCAUCUAAAGGGGUCACAGGGAGGAGGUUGAGGCCAGUCCCAGUUGUCAUCAGGCGGGGGCGAUGUAAACAAUGGCAGUCCACCUCCGGGCCUCAUACUGAGACAAACAACCAUUCACACUUCUUCCUAUUCAUAAGUAUUUAAUUACCAGAAUCAACCACGGACCAUUGACCAAAAAGCAGGCAACCGUGGUCAUGCUCCACUGUGCCACAGGACUGUACGCCAAUUAACCAUCGUUUGACCCAUAAACAGAGAGAACUUUCCACUAACUUUUUGAAUCAAACAAUGUUAAAACCAAGGUCAAACAAUGUUAGAAUUGUGUGACAAUAAAAGUUUUUUUAUAAACAUAUUUCUUAAAAUAGUCAGGUUUACUUAUGGUCUUAAAAUGCUAAGCUAUAGGGCUAACUUUAUACCUUGUUGCACUGUCAUAUUUAAUUUUUAACAGACCAUAGCUUCUUAACUGAAAUUAUGUUCUUUAAUUAUGUUCUUUUUAUUUUUUCAAUUUUGGAACAUAUUUUGCCCAUACAAAAAAAAUCAAUUUUUCUUAAUGCUUAAAAACAAGCUAACGUCGCUAACUACUUAGCUUCUUACUUAUUAUUUAUUAUUAGGGUUUACAACAACAACAACAAAACAAUCUUUAUACUAUUUUUCACUGCAUGCAGAAACUCCCAACACAUGACUCAAAACAAUGUUAAAAUUGUAUGUUUUAAAACAGAAUAGUGUGUUACCUGUAGGGGUCAGUUAUUCUUCUUCUUCUAAGCUACUGUUGCUAUUUACUUAGCUGCAUUAUUCAAGUUUUUCCAUUGCACACUGAAGGCUUUUAAUGAUUCCAUGUUUCCUAGUUUUUUGGGGUUUUUUUCACACUAACUCCACCUUUAAAUUAAAUCAGCUCAUCAUUCGCUGGUGAUUCAACCACAUGUUCAUUUGCCAGUUGGCAAUGUUCUGACUGGUGAAAUGUUAGCCCUAAUCACUGCUCCCAGACAUUCUUCAUUAACAGUGAUUAUUUGAAAUGUUAGUCAAACUCCAUUUCCCUGCCAACAUCUACACUUUUAAUAAGCUUAACACACACACACACACACACACACACACACACAUUUCACACCUUCCUGGGUGAUGAUAUACUCGUCGAUGCUUUGCUGCGGAGAAUGAAACAGAGCGUGGAGGAGAGACAGGCAGGAAACUAACAAGAGAUGCUCGUGCUCUUGUGAUUCGUCGCCUUUAAAAGCGUAAGAGUUAUGGUUGGAAAUAUGGUGUGGUAACAUACAGUAUGUGAUCAUGUUGAUUACACUGUUUAUUCACCAAACACUAUUCCAUACAGGGUAAGAGAGAAAUAGGUAAGAAAGGAGCUACAGAGAGCACCUGACGGCCGUGUCUCAAUCCUCUUACCUUGCUGUUUUUUUUUUUACCUGGAUGACUGUAAAUCCCACUGCUGUCUUAUAUAACACUCCAGGAAUAAAUGGUUGAAGGUGCUGUGUGAGAACCACAUCUCUGGUGACAGCGAUUUGUUAAAGCAAAUAUUGUCCUCAGAGAAUCCUGCCUGUAGACUUUCAGUGUCCACAGGCUGAGAUGGUUACUUAAAUACUGCAUAAAUCCAUAGCGCUGUCUAUGUGUGUGUUUGUGUGUGUUCUGUUGUUGUGUGUACUGUGAGAUAGAGUACCAGGGGACACACUGUGUGUCAGAACCAGCUUUCCAGUCUAGAUAAAUGCAUGGCUGCUGACCUUUGGGACCCAAACAAACAACAUUUUUCUCAGUUUUUCCUACGCCUCAAAAAAAACCUCCAUGGACUUAAAAAAAAAAGAGGAAACACUUUUUAACUGUCAGAGCUAACGAAUCCCUGAAGGUCACAAAUGUCACCACAUUCCCAAAGAGCUGCACAUGAGUUUUCAGCCCACGUUUUGAAGUGGGGUGGUAAUGUUAAUUCGUUUGUUAUAAAGGAAUAUGAAGUUUCUUCUUUAUAUUACUUUUUAAAUUUGUGAAUAUGCAUCUUUUUUAAAAAAAUCUCACAUGAUUAAAACGUCCUAGAAUACAUUCAUACUGUGAACUCAUCAGCUCGUUUCUUUUGCUGCCUUUUGAAUCUGAAUGUGUCGAAAAGGGUCUCCGUCUUUGAUGAGGAGCAGUGACACUUGUGUACAACAUCCAUCCAGAGGAAGGAGCUUUAAAAUUCACUUCCAUGACCACGGAGAAUUGGCUUCCUACAAAACAACUCUUGGUUGAAUUAGUUCGCCUUCAUUUCAGUUUCAGAAAAAACGAAAAAUCAUUGAAUCUGGUGGAACGUCUUUUAUUGCUUGGUUCAAAGCUUGGGGGGGGCGGGGGGGGCCUCAACAGCUGCCUGACUAAAAAGUAGCUCUGGAUGGAGAGAUGGUGUGAAAAGGUACUUUAUGAAAUGUACCAAAAAUCUUUUUUCAUUUGCUGUAUUUUGGGCUGUAGUAACGUGACAGAGACUGAGGGGAGUUUAUGCUUUGAUCACACAGUAAUGUUUUUUAUACAAUCGUAAAUAUAAUCUCAAUAGCAAAGUAGAUGUGGAUUAAUGAUUCAUUGAGAUAAAUCAACGUUCCUAUAUAUAAUUUUAAAAGAAUUCUGACUAAUCUAUAUAAUACAGAAUAAUGGAAUAAUGCCAAA